GCGGCGGACGGGUGAGUAACACGUGGGUAACCUGCCCAUAAGACUGGGAUAACUCCGGGAAACCGGGGCUAAUACCGGAUAACAUUUUGAACUGCAUGGUUCGAAAUUGAAAGGCGGCUUCGGCUGUCACUUAUGGAUGGACCCGCGUCGCAUUAGCUAGUUGGUGAGGUAACGGCUCACCAAGGCAACGAUGCGUAGCCGACCUGAGAGGGUGAUCGGCCACACUGGGACUGAGACACAGCCCAGACUCCUACGGGAGGCAGCAGUAGGGAAUCUUCCGCAAUGGACGAAAGUCUGACGGAGCAACGCCGCGUGAGUGAUGAAGGCUUUCGGGUCGUAAAACUCUGUUGUUAGGGAAGAACAAGUGCUAGUUGAAUAAGCUGGCACCUUGACGGUACCUAACCAGAAAGCCACGGCUAACUACGUGCCAGCAGCCGCGGUAAUACGUAGGUGGCAAGCGUUAUCCGGAAUUAUUGGGCGUAAAGCGCGCGCAGGUGGUUUCUUAAGUCUGAUGUGAAAGCCCACGGCUCAACCGUGGAGGGUCAUUGGAAACUGGGAGACUUGAGUGCAGA
rnacentral:rRNA from 1 species